GUUGAUGAUGAUCAUUUCUGUUCCUAGUAGGGCAUUCGAUGCGGACACUUUUGUAUUUUAGGAAUUCUUCGUUGCUGA
rnacentral:snoRNA from 1 species